GGAGUAUGGACCGUGUCUCAGUUCCAUUGUGGGGGACCUUCCUCUCAGAACCCCUACCCAUCGUCGGUUUGGUGGGCCGUUACCCCGCCAACUGCCUAAUCAGACGCAUCCCCAUCCCUUAGCGAUGAAUCUUUGGUUUGAUUUUGAUGUCAGCAUCAAACAACAUAGGGAAUUAAUCCGACUUUCGCCGGGCUGUGCCCUACUAAGGGGAAGGUUGGAUACGCGUUACUCACCCGUGCGCCGGUCGCCAUCUAUCAAAGCAAGCUUCGAUAAUGAUGCCCCUCGACUUGCAUGUGUUAAGCCUGUAGCUAGCGUUCAUC
rnacentral:rRNA from 1 species